GAUGAACGCUGGCGGCGUGCCUAAUACAUGCAAGUCGAGCGAACGGACGAGAAGCUUGCUUCUCUGAUGUUAGCGGCGGACGGGUGAGUAACACGUGGAUAACCUACCUAUAAGACUGGGAUAACUUCGGGAAACCGGAGCUAAUACCGGAUAAUAUUUUGAACCGCAUGGUUCAAAAGUGAAAGACGGUCUUGCUGUCACUUAUAGAUGGAUCCGCGCUGCAUUAGCUAGUUGGUAAGGUAACGGCUUACCAAGGCAACGAUGCAUAACCGACCUGAGAGGGUGAUCGGCCACACUGGAACUGAGACACGGUCCAGACUCCUACGGGAGGCAGCAGUAGGGAAUCUUCCGCAAUGGGCGAAAGCCUGACGGAGCAACGCCGCGUGAGUGAUGAAGGUCUUCGGAUCAUAAAACUCUGUUAUUAGGGAAGAACAUAUGUGUAAGUAACUGUGCACAUCUUGACGGUACCUAAUCAGAAAGCCACGGCUAACUACGUG
rnacentral:rRNA from 1 species